CACAACCCCAUUUGUCAGUUCUUUCCCCUUUCUCAGAUCGCUGCCUGGCAUGCGAACAGACCUCUCUCUCUCGCGCCCCCUUUCCCCUUUCUUCUUUCAUGUUGCUCAUUUCUAACCUCUCUCUCUCUCCCUUCAGUCCCUCUCCCCCUUCUCCAGUCCAUCGGUGCGCGGGCCUUCCCCCCCACUACCACCAUGGAUCCCCUGUCUACCAUGGCUCCUGUAUGUGGUGCGCCCGGUUGUGGGCAGAGAUUAGAAGAACUCAUUUUCCGCUGCUACUGUGGUGAUCCCGCAUGGUGCGUGACCUCAGGCAACCCCAAAUCCGUGAAACCUGGACAUGGGAUGGACUGUAAAGGAUCUGAAAUCAGUCUCGAUUUUGGUCAGUUUGGGUCUUGGCCCCCAAUCGUCGAGCCAGCCCUAAGGCAAUUCCUGAAAAGAGUUACUUCAUUCAAUUGCUAGCUGAAAAUGCUGCACGAAUGGUUACAGAGGGUGAUCAGGGUGCAGAAUCGUUUGAUAUUGCAAGGAUAUGAGCAGAGCAUUUCAGGAGACAGCUGAUUACAUCAAAAUGAAGACUUUGUGUGCUGCUGUUGGAUAGGAGUUAGAAGACGACACAAGCUGCAAUGAGCAAGGCAAUGGUGCCUAUACAGAUGACCAAACUGGUGAUGCUCAGUAUUCAGUUGUGUAGGCUUGUAAUAUGAUGUAAAAAGUGUUAACUAGAUGGUGUUAUUAUUGACUUUAAGUACCAACCGACUUGAUAUUAAACCGUGGUACUCACAUGUAAAUAUGAGUACUCGGCACGCAUGAUCAAUAUAAGUUCUUUAUAUCAUGGUA